GCCCUCGUAGUUCAAUGGAUAGAAUAGAAUCCUUCUAAGAUUUAGAUGUUGGUUCGAUUCCAACCGAGGGCA
rnacentral:tRNA from 4 species